rnacentral:misc_RNA from 1 species
AACUUUUGGCAACGGCUCUCUUGGUUCUGGCAUCGAUGAAGAACGCAGCGAAAUGCGAUAAGUAAUGUGAAUUGCAGAAUUCAGUGAAUCAUCGAAUCUUUGAACGCACAUUGCGCCCUUUGGUAUUCCGAGGGGCACGCCUGUUCGAGCGUCAUUUACACCAUCAAGCCUAGCUUGGUCUUGGACGCGGUCGAGUGACCCGUCCCUAACCCGUUGGCGGUACAGUCCGGCUUCAAGCGUAGCAAAAAUUUCGCUUCAGGAGUCCGCGGCGGUGCCCGCCAGGUAACAACUUCCUAAAGUUUGACCUCGGAUCAGGUGAGGAUACCCGCUGAACUUAAGCAUAACAAUAAGCGGAGGCU